rnacentral:rRNA from 1 species
CAGUAGCCACGGGAAUACAGAGGGUGCGAGCGUUAAUCGGAUUUACUGGGCGUAAAGCGUGCGUAGGCGGCUAAUUGAGUCGGAUGUGAAAUCCCCGAGCUUAACUUGGGAAUUGCAUUCGAUACUGGUUAGCUAGAGUGUGGGAGAGGAUGGUAGAAUUCCAGGUGUAGCGGUGAAAUGCGUAGAGAUCUGGAGGAAUACCGAUGGCGAAGGCAGCCAUCUGGCCUAACACUGACGCUGAGGUACGAAAGCAUGGGGAGCAAACAGGAUUAGAUACCCGUGUAGUCCCUGUCUCUUAUAC